GAUGAAGAACGCAGCGAAAUGCGAUAAGUAGUGUGAAUUGCAGAAUUCAGUGAAUCAUCGAAUCUUUGAACGCACAUUGCGCCCCUUGGUAUUCCAUGGGGCAUGCCUGUUCGAGCGUCAUUUGUACCUUCAAGCUUUGCUUGGUGUUGGGUGUUUGUCUCGCCUUUGCGUGUAGACUCGCCUUAAAAUAAUUGGCAGCCGGCGUAUUGAUUUCGGAGCGCAGUACAUCUCGCGCUUUGCACUCAUAACGACGACGUCCAAAAGUACAUUUUUACACUCUUGACCUCGGAUCAGGUAGGGAUACCCGCUGAACUUAAGCAUAUCAAUAAGCGGAGGA
rnacentral:misc_RNA from 1 species